rnacentral:tRNA from 1 species
GGGAUUGUGGCUCAGUGGUAGAGCACUUGUCUAGCACAUGUGAGGCCCUGGGCUCGAUUCUCAGCACCU